UUCCUGAUCGAUCACAGGAGUUAAGCAAUCUCGAGCCUGGUCAGUACUGCAAUGGGGGACCUCUUGUGAACACUGGGUACUGUAAG